rnacentral:rRNA from 1 species
AUUGAACGCUGGCGGCAGGCCUAACACAUGCAAGUCGAACGAGUGGCGGACGGGUGAGUAAUGUCUGGGAAACUGCCCGAUGGAGGGGGAUAACUACUGGAAACGGUAGCUAAUACCGCAUACCAUCGGAUGUGCCCAGAUGGGAUUAGCUAGUAGGUGGGGUAACGGCUCACCUAGGCGACGAUCCCUAGCUGGUCUGAGAGGAUGACCAGCCACACUGGAACGGAGACACGGUCCAGACUCCUACGGGAGGCAGCUGGGGGGAAUAUUGCACAAUGGGCGCAAGCCUGAUGGAGCCAUGCCGCUUGUGUGAGGAAGGCCUUCUGGUUGUAAAGUACUUUCGGCGGGGAGGCUUGGCCCGCAGAAGAAGCACCGGCUAACUCCGUGCCAGCAGCCGCGGUAAUAC